rnacentral:rRNA from 1 species
GACGAACGCUGGCGGCGUGCUUAACACAUGCAAGUCGAACGGAAAGACCCUGAGCUUGCGCGGUGCUCGAGUGGCGCACAGGUGAGUAACACGUGUGUAACCUGCCCUUGACUUUGGGAUAACUUCAGGAAACUGGGGCUAAUACCCGCUAGAAGCUCCUGCUCCAUGGUGGGGGUUGGAAAGUUUCGGCGGUUGGGGAUGGACUCGCGGCUUAUCAGCUUGUUGGUGGGGUAGUGGCUGACCAAGGCUUUGACGGCUAGCCGGCCUGAGAGGGUGACCGGCGACCAGGCGCCUACGGGAGGGAGCAGUCGGGAAUCUGGCGCAGUGGUCGAAAGCAUUACGCAACGAGGCGACGCGUGUGACGAAGGCCUUGCGGUCGGAAUGCCGUCCUACGGGUUAUGAACCGAUUUCGACUGUGACGAGGCGUGAGUGACGGUAACGGGUAAAGAAGCACCGGCUAACUACGUG